rnacentral:rRNA from 1 species
UGCUUAGUACGGCGAGUGAGCGGCAAAAGCUCAAAUUUGAAAUCUGGCACCUUCGGUGUCCGAGUUGUAAUUUGAAGAAGGUAACUUUGGAGUUGGCUCUUGUCUAUGUUCCUUGGAACAGGACGUCACAGAGGGUGAGAAUCCCGUGCGAUGAGAUGCCCAAUUCUAUGUAAAGUGCUUUCGAAGAGUCGAGUUGUUUGGGAAUGCAGCUCUAAGUGGGUGGUAAAUUCCAUCUAAAGCUAAAUAUUGGCGAGAGACCGAUAGCGAACAAGUACAGUGAUGGAAAGAUGAAAAGAACUUUGAAAAGAGAGUGAAAAAGUACGUGAAAUUGUUGAAAGGGAAGGGCUUGAGAUCAGACUUGGUAUUUUGCGAUCCUUUCCUUCUUGGUUGGGUUCCUCGCAGCUUACUGGGCCAGCAUCGGUUUGGAUGGUAGGAUAAUGACUAAGGAAUGUGGCUCUACUUCGGUGGAGUGUUAUAGCCUUGGUUGAUACUGCCUGUCUAGACCGAGGACUGCGUCUUUUGACUAGGAUGUUGGCAUAAUGAUCUUAAGCCACCCGUCUUGA